rfam:Mustela putorius furo unplaced genomic scaffold scaffold00060, whole genome shotgun sequence.
GCCUGGCAGGCUCAGUCAGUAGAGCAUGUGACUAUUGAUCUCAGGGUUGUGAGUUCAAGCCCCACAUUGGGUG